AGAGUUUGAUCAUGGCUCAGAGCGAACGCUGGCGGCAGGCUUAACACAUGCAAGUCGAGCGGGCGUAGCAAUACGUCAGCGGCAGACGGGUGAGUAACGCGUGGGAACGUACCUUUUGGUUCGGAACAACACAGGGAAACUUGUGCUAAUACCGGAUAAGCCCUUACGGGGAAAGAUUUAUCGCCGAAAGAUCGGCCCGCGUCUGAUUAGCUAGUUGGUGAGGUAAUGGCUCACCAAGGCGACGAUCAGUAGCUGGUCUGAGAGGAUGAUCAGCCACAUUGGGACUGAGACACGGCCCAAACUCCUACGGGAGGCAGCAGUGGGGAAUAUUGGACAAUGGGCGCAAGCCUGAUCCAGCCAUGCCGCGUGAGUGAUGAAGGCCCUAGGGUUGUAAAGCUCUUUUGUGCGGGAAGAUAAUGACGGUACCGCAAGAAUAAGCCCCGGCUAACUUCGUGCCGGCAGCCGCGGUAAUACGAAGGGGGCUAGCGUUGCUCGGAAUCACUGGGCGUAAAGGGUGCGUAGGCGGGUCUUUAAGUCAGGGGUGAAAUCCUGGAGCUCAACUCCAGAACUGCCUUUGAUACUGAAGAUCUUGAGUUCGGGAGAGGUGAGUGGAACUGCGAGUGUAGAGGUGAAAUUAGUAGAUAUUCGCAAGAACACCAGUGGCGAAGGCGGCUCACUGGCCCGAUACUGACGCUGAGGCACGAAAGCGUGGGGAGCAAACAGGAUUAGAUACCCUGGUAGUCC
rnacentral:rRNA from 1 species